AUUUGAUAUAGCUGUGCUGUAGUUACCUAUAUUUUCAGGAAGUUUAAUGUAGGGUGGACCACAUGGACAGCUCCUUAGUGGUCAAUGAAAAUAAGGUCAUUUUCUUCAGCGUCACUAAUGAUCUGUCACAACAUCAGACGUGAGUCUCCAUAUCUUCCUCCUCUGUAGGUUUUUCUGUGUCCUACCAAACACACAUCAGUUUUCUCACAUGACAAUCUAUGUGUGGAGUUCACUUCACUGACGGAAGAAAGUGGAAAAUAUGUCUUUGUCUUAUAUUCUUCUCAUUUAUGUCGCCGGUGUUGCGGUAAAAGAAAGUUGUGCAGAUUCGGUUCCCACUCCCACUAUUGUAUUUUCCUCUGGGUACAUCAAUGUAGCUACACCUGUUACAGUACGCUGUGAGUCACCAAAAGGCACAGAGUGCAAGUUCUACAGAGAUCACCAACCCAACCCUAUAAGAAAACUGGAUUACAAGCAGGGUGCUUGCCAGUUCAAGUUGUUAUGGAAUGAGUUCAAAAAGUGGAACAAGACUGAAGUUGAUCUCAGCUGUGUAAUUCUACAGAAUAGAGAAGAUAAAACGAUCAAAACCUCAAAACCUAGUGAUGCUCGAAGACUUAUAGUGAGUGAUCCAAUUGGAAUGCCCAGUGUUCAUGUGGAGAAGAUCGGGAAUUACCUCAAUCUUCGAUGUGAGGCCAAGGCUUGCACCUCAUGCUACUUUUAUCUGAACAAUGGUGACUCACACUUUAAUAAACAACCCUACAAAGACAAUGUCUGUGUGGGGAGAGUGGCAGAAGAGGAACUGCAGAGGAAGAUGAGCAGUGCUGGAGAGAACUUCAUCACCUGUGCUGUGGAGCUGGUGAUAGAGGGUGAAGAUACUGUGACAUCACAGCAUAGUGAACCCCUCGGUAUCACCAUAGAUGUUGUAAAUCCUCCAGGAGCAACUAGUUCCCCGUCAGAGUUCAGUUUAAUCAUACCUGUUCAGGAGGAGACAAGCAGCAAUGUCACAGCCCAAGGAAGAGAAUCCGUCUCAGUGAUCCCCUUCUACCAGUAUACCAGUCUUCGUGCUGUUGUCUAUGUUAUCAUUCUGCUGAUGGAAUUUGUUCUGUGUCUUCUCUGGUAUAGACGUGGUACAUGCCUUCUCAUACUCAUACACAACAUGUAACGGAUGUAGAAACUUCAUUUGAUUACUCUUUUAUUUCUGAGAA
rnacentral:lncRNA from 1 species